GGUUCACAGGUGGUGCAUGGUCGUCGUCAGCUCGUGUCGUGAGAUGUUGGGUUAAGUCCCGCAACGAGCGCAACCCUCGCCCCGUGUUGCCAGCGGAUUAUGCCGGGAACUCACGGGGGACCGCCGGGGUUAACUCGGAGGAAGGUGGGGAUGACGUCAGAUCAUCAUGCCCCUUACGUCCAGGGCUUCACGCAUGCUACAAUGGCCGGUACAACGGGAUGCGACGCGGCGACGCGGAGCGGAUCCCUGAAAACCGGUCUCAGUUCGGAUCGCAGUCUGCAACUCGACUGCGUGAAGGCGGAGUCGCUAGUAAUCGCGAAUCAGCAACGUCGCGGUGAAUGCGUUCCCGGGCCUUGUACACACCGCCCGUCAAGUCAUGAAAGUGGGCAGCACCCGAAGCCGGUGGCCUAACCCCUUGUGGGAUGGAGCCGUCUAAGGUGAGGCUCGUGAUUGGGACUAAGUCGUAACAAGGUAGCCGUACCGGAAGGUGCGGCUGGAUCACCUCCUUUCUACGGAG
rnacentral:rRNA from 1 species